GGGACCAAUGAUGAUGACUGGUGCCGUAUGAGUCAUGGGUCAUGAAUGAUACGUGUCUGGAACUCUGAGGUCCAA